CCUGGCGGCGAUAGCGCGGUGGUCCCACCUGACCCCAUGCCGAACUCAGAAGUGAAACGCCGUAGCGCCGAUGGUAGUGUGGGGCUUCCCAUGUGAGAGUAGGGAACUGCCAGGC
rnacentral:rRNA from 1 species